rnacentral:lncRNA from 1 species
CCUGAUUUGUUUUGUACUAGUAUUCAUAAGUGAUCUUCCCCUGUGGCAUUUACAGUACCCAACUUCUACUCAAGAACAAUGUACUUACCAGCAGGAAUAAUCCCAUUCCGCGAAACAAGAAUGAAUGAAUCACAGAAAAAUAGUAAAGAUGAGAAUUUUAUACUUUUUUUUUUUUACCAGUUUGAUACCACAAUGUACCCUGAAUGUGAGGUGCUAUGGGGAAUAUGAAGAUGAAAGAGACCCUGCCACUGCUUUCCAGGAGUUCACCAUCUGGUAUGGGAGACCAACAUCCACCUAACUAGGUAUUAUCCCAGAGGUAAAACUGCUUUGGCAACACCUGGAAAUAUGGGAGGAGCAAUUAAGGUUGGACAGAUUCAGAAAAGAUUUAUGGAAGAAGUGGAAUUCAAUAUGGCUCUUAAAAUACUACAGUAGUAGGAUUCUGAAACUCAGAGAUGUGGAAUUUCAGCAUUUCACAGUGAACAUAUGUGCAAGAUACAAUACUGGAUACUGUGGGGGCCUUUCGGGGAAGGGAAUUAAGUCAGUAAUGCUGGAUCCUGGGGUAAAUUUAAGGUAGGGGGAGGCAAAACUGGGAAGAAAAGAAGAGUUAAAAUAGGGAGUUUUGAACUCCUGCUAAAAAGUCAUUUCACUCUGUAUAUCAAAGUAUUUAAAUUCAGGAUCACAACCCUACAUCCAAAGCAGAGAACAUUACAAAUAAUCUAAAGGAAUCUCUUUGUAGUUUAUCUAAUUAUCUAAUUCAUUCUUUCUAGAGAUUAAAAAUACCUUGAAGUACAGCACUAAGUUUUAUUUACCUUGCUAUUUUCUCGGCAGCUAGAAGAGAGUCUGGUAUAUUUGAAUAAUUGUAUCAAUGCCUAUGGAAUGGAUGAGUACAUUCUAAUACAAAGUACGGCAGAGGUCCUGAAGUGGAACCAUUAAAGAAAGGGUACCUGCCACUCCAUAUCAUCUCACUUCAAGAACUUGCAUAGAACAUCUCAGUUUCUGCUUUUAUAAAAAACAUUUCUGCGUUCUACAGAGCCAAGACACAAUCUACCAUGGCCCUCCUGGGUUUGAAGAUGACAAGCACAUUUCUUUAUUCAUGUGUACUCAAUUGCCUUUCAGCAAUCUGCUGAACUGCAUACUUGCUGGUCAGUUACCUUGGCAACUCCACAGUAAAGGCUGCUUCACUUUAAGUAUAGUAUGCCAUUCACUUUGAGAAAAACAUGAUACAGAUGUAUGACACAUUCAUCAUCUAGAAAUGGAAAAUGACUAAGCCACUAUGUUUUGUUUGUAAAAAUAAUACUUCCUUUCUGUAGCAUCAGUUUAAAUUACAGGCACCCACACAACAUUUUAGAGGAGUGCCCUUUGCCUUUCCCUUUCGCAUUUGUUACUUGCAAAACAAAUAGCUCUGCAACGGAGGCAAUUUAGGCAGUAUUUACACCUAUGCUUCCUUUCAAAAACAACAAAUGACACAGAGAAUUCGAAGCUAUAGGUUCUUGUUCUAAACGUGAGCUAUAUAAAUAAAGCUGAUGGGGUCCACUCCAACACCUACAGAGGCUAUUACUAACAGUUAACACAUGUUGCAGUCACAUAUGCCCAGGCAGCACUCACAAACCAUAAGCUUAAAGCAUGUUGUUUUCCUUAAGAGCAAGUCUUGAAAAUCAAAUUUAAACACUCUAAGAAUCCACAACACUAAGAUCUAAUAAUCUCUGAAAUAUACAUGUGUACAGUGCCAUGCUAAUCAAGCCAAGGUAACAGGGUCUGGCCUCUCUGUGUAUCGCAUGGUUUUGCAAUCUUCUACGGCUGCAAAUCCAUUACCUCUGCAAACAUACGCCACUAGAUAUAAAUGAAACUGGAAAACUAUGGGUGGUUAAAUCCAUGCAAUUCUAUCACUAUUAAUGGGAAAAACAAUGAGACCAAAAGUCCAACCCGCAAGAGGUCAAAAAUAUCAUCUCCAAAUAGCAAGCAUAGCUAGAUUUACAAAGAUUAAAAACUUCUGAAGACAGGUAGUCAUAAGGAACAGAAUUUUUUAAGUAAUAAUUACAUAUCUGAGUAGAGAGAGCCAAAGGGUUAUGUAAGCAAGUAGCUGGGAUCAUUAUCUCGCUCUCCCUAAACAUAGAUCCAAUUUAUCUCAUCACCAUGUUACCAAAACCUUGUUCACAAAACUGUUAUCUGUAUGUUUCAUUCACAGGGUAUAGAAUCUGCAGCCAUUUCAACAACUCUAUAUUAUGUGACAGCAUAGAGCCCAGAAUCAAAUAACAGACCACGAAAGCAGUAGCAAAAAAAAAGGGAGCUCAUGCUAGCUAAACAAUGUCUUGUUUUCCUUUACUAAUAGUCCAGUGGAAACUCUCUCUCCAUAAUGAAAAUAUAUGGGUGUGCACGUGUGCUUAUUACAAUUACCUUCAAAGCAAGUUUGAAUGUAUUUAGUAAACAUUAAAUUUUGAAAGUACUAUGGUGGUACGCUGCCAAUGAAUCCACAGCAUAUAACUUCACAAUUCUCACAAUGAUUAUUCUUAAUGGCAUGUGCAUAAGCACAGGCACACACACAGCCCCUUCACUACAAAAAUGUCCAGAGAACACUUGCCAGUUCUUUUUCUGCAUCACCAAGAACAAUUACAUGGCUAUAAAGAUAAAAUAACAACUGAGUAUAAGACCCUGCAAGUUUGAGCUAGUUUUAAAUCUUAAAGCCAUCUGUCUUCUGAAAUCUUUGAGAAGAAAGUCAUAAAGUAUUGUCAAUAUUUAUGUCCGGGUGACUUUGAUUAGGUACCCAGUAUGUUUAGGUCUCUCUUAUAGAUGCUUUAUUAAUAAACUAAUCACUUUAAAAUGUCCAUUUAUAUCAUCAUUUUCUAAUUUUUAAGGUUUACAAGGAUCUAAUAAAAUCUCAGUUUACCAGAACCACAUGAAAUGAAUUGUUCCACAGAGCUGAUGUUUCUGAAGUACUCUGCAGUUGAUUCUUUUUCAUGAUGGUAUAAGAUCAUCAUUUUGUACAUCAAUUGUUGCACUCUGCUCUAUUAUACGGUGAUACCCGUAUGGACUGUUUGGUUGCCUUGUCAUUUACCGAUCACACUGUGGGUCCCAGUCUGCUAAUGCUUUUUAAGGUUGUGUGUUUUACAGAUUUUGUUUUCUCUUUUGUAGACAAGUUGUCAGCUGUCAUUUCUCAUUGCUAUCAGUAUGUUUCCCAUAGCAGCUUCUCUAUCCCCUCUAAUUUGCUGUUAUUAAUCGGCUGCAGGUUUAGAAACCAGACUACCAAAUGAGGCAGGGUUGCACAUUGAAGUAAAAACAAAUGCGUGCUGUUUAACACACAUAGGGCUCUGCUAGAUGUAAAAGACAGGAGCCUGCAUUCGCAGCAUCUAUUUUGGCUGCCGAAAGACUCUUUUGUGGCGUAUUUCCUAGUUCUUAGUUGACGCAGUACACUUCUGAAUAGAUGAUCUUACUAUACUUGAGAGAGAGCCAUUACUUAAGGUGAUGGCAGCAGAAACUCUGUUAUAAAAUACAUUCACAAAUAAAUAGGUGUACAAUUGAAAGUCUUAAUUCAACCCAUAUAUUACAUAACUGUGAACUGUCAAAUAAAAAAUGGAUUGAAUGCAUUGUAUAAAACACUUACAUAUUCGAUAUGUGGGAAAUACACUGCACAAUUUAAACGAAGAGAUCUAUGGAUUAAAUGAUAUGUUGCCCUUAGUUAUAGCUAAAUCAGCCUAAGAUACUAUAACACAAUAUAAUUAAUAAGUAACUUAUUAAUAAGCAAUUAAAGUCUAUUUCUAAAAGCAUUUCAAUUUUAUCAAUUUGUUUCUCACAUGAAGAGUU